rnacentral:rRNA from 1 species
UACGGAGGGAGCGAACGUUGUUCGGAUUUACUGGGCGUAAAGGGUGUGUAGGCGGUCUUGCAAGUCAGGGGUGAAAUCUCUCGGCUCAACCGAGAAACUGCCUUUGAGACUGCAGGACUUGAGGGCGUGAGAGGAGACUGGAAUUCCUAGUGUAGCGGUGAAAUGCAUAGAUAUUAGGAGGAACACCAGUGGCGAAGGCGAGUCUCUGGCACGCAUCUGACGCUGAAACACGAAAGCCAGGGGAGCGAACGGGAUUAGAUACCCCGGUAGUCCUGGCCGUAAACGUUGGGCACUAAGUGUUGGCCGAUCGACCCGGCCAGUGCUGCAGCUAACGCGUUAAGUGCCCCGCCUGGGGAGUACGGCCGCAAGGUUGAA